ensembl:lncRNA
CGUAUUUACAGUCAGGAUACAAAGUAAUACUGUUCACGGUCUCAUCAUAAAGCAUUGUAGCACAUCUCAGAGCUCAGCGGGAAAUCCUUCUGGAAACAGCUGUCUUCUACAGGAUACACCUGGGGAUAGUCUGUGGGAGCAAAGUAAGGUGCGCAUUCUGGGGUGGGGGGGCUCUCCUGCUGGCCUGACCAACAGUGUGGCAAGCUGUAAUAUUCCUGGGGGCCACAGUGCUGAUAGUGGUAUUGCUGUGGGCUGAAGCUUGACUCCAUUCUGGUGGGCGAGUCAUAGCAUGAGGAGGAGGAGGAGGAAGAGAAGGAGUCCUGUGGGGAAUAAGUGUUGGGAUCCACAGGGUUGCAGAAAGUCAGUGACUCCAAUGAGGAGCAAGGGGCCUGAAAGAGAGGAGGACAUCGAAAUUACUUUGGGCAGGACUGCAGGUGUGCCACAUGGUGGUCAUCCAACCAAAGCUAGGCCCAGGGCUCACCAGGAACACUUCUGAGACCUACCAUCCCCUGGCCGUAGUAGUCCGCAUCUGAGGACAGUCCGUGGUACCAAGGCUGAGGGGAGGUUGGAAAAGGAGGCAGAGGGGUGUCGUAGGUGGUACCACCGUAUCCGUUGCCGGGCAACAUCACAUCCCCAAACUGCUGCUGCUGCUGCACCUGGAUGCCGCACUCCUGCAUCUGGAUGUUGCACGCGCUGUCAGGGACUGGAAACGAGAUGGUGGCUCGAAGCUGGAGGGCCAGCGACCCGCAGCUGCUGGCUUCAGCUGGGGGGACAGAGGGAGGAGGAGCCACAUGGCCACCUGCCGAGAUUCAGUGUAACAGUCAGACCGAAAAUAUCCAGAAUACAAACACAUGCGAUGAAAACAAGCGAACCACACGCUCUGGGUUAAUCAUUGCCUAUCAUUUAAUCACGGACUAGGAUAUAUCUGCGACCACUUUGAAAGGGCGUGGUCUGAGAGACCACGGUGGAACUCCACCCCUCUGAAAUCUGAAUGCCUCUUGCCCCCCGUCCAACUGAAAAAGGCGUCCUCAAUAAUUGAUGCAUAUUUAUAUGUUUAUUUUACAGAAUUUUUGACCCCC